CACUCCUACCCCGUCCUCAUCCAAAAUCAACCCCUCAUUCGCUUUCCCUUUUCCCAGAGUUCUUGCUCCAUCUCAGAGAAACAAAAUCGCGCCGCCGCCGGGUGUCGAACACCUGGUGGGCGGGGGUUGCGCCUUCGCCGCAGGGCCUCUCGGCCGGUGUGGGUCGCGGGGUGUGUUGAGGAGAUGUCCGCGUUGCUGUUGCUGCUGUUGGAGGGAGCCGGGAGCCGCUACGCGAGGGAGGACGAGCGUCAAACACCUGCGACCGUCGCCGACCGCCGUCUGCCCCUGUUUCGACCGCACCGCGCCACGCGCCGUCGAACUUCGCCGUUCCGCCACUCCGUGCGCCUGGACACCGACAAGCCAGCGGCCCCCUCGAUUUGGGGUGCGCGCAGCCGUAGCCAUGCCGACUCCGGCCGCCACCGCGCCAUGGUUGAGCUCGCCGUGGAGAGACCUCCCGGUUGCACUCGAAUUGAUCUCCAUUGCGCCGCCGGCGUUCCCGUGAUCUCGGCACCACCGCGCGCCGUCGCGCCGCGCGUCGGGGGGUCGCCGCGCCUCGCCACCGCCGCCGGAGGGUCUCCGGUGGUGUGCCGCCACUCGCCCCACCGUGCGCCGAGCCGUUCCGGCUUGGGCCGUCGCACCGUCGUGCGCCGCUUCUCGGCUCAGCCGCGAGCGGAAGGAAGAAGACGACGGGGAAAAAGAAAAAGAACGAGAGAGAGAGAAACCAUGUGGGACCCACAUAUUAUUAGCGCGCAGUAA
rnacentral:lncRNA from 1 species